rnacentral:tRNA from 1 species
UUCCCUGGCAGUCCAAUGGUUAGGAUUCAGCACUUUCAAUGCCAGGGCCCAGGUUCGAUUCCUGGUGGGGAAA